rnacentral:rRNA from 1 species
UGGAUUAGAACGAGCGCUGGCGGCAUGCCUACCACAUGCAAGUCGAACGAGACCUUCGGGUCUAGUGGCGCACGGGUGCGUAACGCGUGGGAAUCUGCCCUUGGGUUCGGAAUAACACUUAGAAAUUUGUGCUAAUACCGGAUGAUGACGAAAGCCCAAAGAUUUAUCGCCCAGGGAUGAGCCUGCGUAGGAUUAGCUAGUUGGUGAGGUAAAGGCUCACCAAGGCGACGAUCCUUAGCUGGUCUGAGAGGAUGAUCAGCCACACUGGGACUGAGACACGGCCCAGACUCCUACGGGAGGCAGCAGUGGGGAAUAUUGGACAAUGGGCGAAAGCCUGAUCCAGCAAUGCCGCGUGAGUGAUGAAGGCCUUAGGGUUGUAAAGCUCUUUAACCCGGGAUGAUAAUGACUGUACCGGGAGAAUAAGCCCCGGCUAACUCCGUGCCAGCAGCCGCGGUAAU